GUGGAGUGGAGUGGAGUGGAGAGGAGUCCAAUACCACUGGCGGGAAUUUGAAAAUGCGACGGAACAACAAAUAAUUACAGUUGUUUCCCAAAGAGCCCAUCAAGGAGCCUGUGACAGUGAGCAGCUAGCCCAUGCCAGUGACCCAGGAGAUCCUUCGGAUGUUAGUGAAAGACCUCAUCAGCAGACAGACUCGGAGAGUGAGGUAGAGCAGCCUCCAGUACUGCCCAGUGGAUCAAGAGCACCUCCAGACAUAUCCAAAUCAAGAGCUGAUGGACCAGUCCAGCCACACCUGAAGAUCUUUCCUAAAACACUCCAGGGUGACAGGAGCAGAAACUUUCAAGCCACAUGGUACCAUAAACACACAUGGCUCAAGUACUCGCAGAGCCAGGACUCUGCAUACUGCUAUGCAUGCAGGCAUUUUGGACUCCCAAACACAGACUCGACAUUUA